AACUUUCAGCAAUGGAUCACUUGGCUCUCCCAUCGAUGAAGAACGCAGCGAAAUGCGAUAACUAAUGUGAAUUGCAGAAUUCAGUGAAUCAUCGAGGCUUUGAACGCACCUUGCGCCCUUUGGUAUUCCGAAGGGCAUGCCUGUUUGAGUGUCAGUAAAUGCUCAACCUUGAGCUUUUGCGAGCUUCAAGGCUUGGAUGUGAGGGCUUGCUGGCUUCCUUCAGUCGAUUGGUCUGCUACCUUUAAUUGCAUUAGUGGGAUCCUUUGUGGCGCGUCACUUGGUGUGAUAAUUCUCUACGCCUCUUGACCGAAGCAAGCCUUAUGGGAACCUGCUUAUACCCGUCCUUCAAGGACAAUUUAUUGACUAUUUGACCUCAAAUCAGGUAGGACUACCCGCUGAACUUAAGCAUAUCAAUAAGCGGAGGAU
rnacentral:misc_RNA from 1 species